AUAUUAAUCAGCGGAGGAAAAGAGACUAACCAGGAUUCCCUCAGUAACUGCGAGUGUAGCGGGAUCGGCUCAAUGUGUGAAUCUGGCUCGGGGUACAUCCUGGGUUCGAGUUGUGCACUAUGGACGUUUCGUCUGCGUUUGUAAAGGCGGUGGAAGUCCGUUGAAACACGGCACCUCAGAGGGUCAUAGUCCUGUACCACCUGUCUGCACUCGCGCCAAUGACAAGCGCUCUUCGAGU
rnacentral:rRNA from 1 species